rnacentral:rRNA from 1 species
AGCGAACGCUGGCGGCAGGCCUAACACAUGCAAGUCGAACGAAGUCUUCGGACUUAGUGGCGGACGGGUGAGUAACACGUGGGAACGUGCCUUUAGGUUCGGAAUAACUCAGGGAAACUUGUGCUAAUACCGAAUGUGCCCUUCGGGGGAAAGAUUUAUCGCCUUUAGAGCGGCCCGCGUCUGAUUAGCUAGUUGGUGGGGUAAUGGCCUACCAAGGCGACGAUCAGUAGCUGGUCUGAGAGGAUGAUCAGCCACACUGGGACUGAGACACGGCCCAGACUCCUACGGGAGGCAGCAGUGGGGAAUCUUGGACAAUGGGCGCAAGCCUGAUCCAGCCAUGCCGCGUGGAUGAUGAAGGCCCUAGGGUUGUAAAAUCCUUUCGUCAGGGACGAUAAUGACGGUACCUGAAGAAGAAGCCCCGGCUAACUUCGUGCCAGCCGCCGCGGUAAUAC